GACGAACGCUGGCGGCGUGCUUAACACAUGCAAGUCGAACGGAAAGGCCUGCUUUCCCUUGUGGAUUGCGGGUACUCGAGUGGCGAACGGGUGAGUAACACGUGAGUGAUCUGCCCCCAACUUGGGUAUAAGCCUGGGAAACUGGGUCUAAUUCCCGAUAGGACUGCAGGGUGGUGCCUGUGGUGGAAAACGAUUUUCUAGUGGUUGGGGAUGAGCUCGCGGCCUAUCAGCUUGUUGGUGGGGUAAUGGCCUACCAAGGCGGCGACGGGUAGCCGGCCUGAGAGGGUGGACGGCCACAUUGGGACUGGGAUACGGCCCCGACUCCUACGGGAGGCAGCAGUGGGGAAUAUUGCACAAUGGGCGGAAGCCUGAUGCAGCGACGCCGCGUGGGGGAUGACGGCCUUCGGGUUGUAAACUCCUUUCGACCGCGAGGAAGCCACCUGGUUGGAAGGGUGGUGACGGUAGUGGUAGAAGAAGCACCGGCUAACUACGUG
rnacentral:rRNA from 1 species